AACUGUUUUUUUAUUUUAUUUUAUUUUAUUUAUUUAUUUUUGAGACAGAGUUUCGCUCUUGUUGCCCAGGCUGGAGUGCAAUGGCGUGAUCUCAGCUCACUACAACCUCCGCCUCCUGGGUUCAAGUGAUUCUCCUGCCUCAGCCUCCUGAGUAGCUGGGAUUACAGGCAUGCACCACCAUGCCAGGCUAAUUUUGUAUUUUUAGUAGAGACGGGGUUUCUUCAUGUUGGUCAGGCUGGUCUUGAGCUCCUGACCUCAGGUGAUCUGCCUGCCUCAGCCUCCCAAAGUGCUGGGAUUACAGGCGUGAACCACCCUGCCUGGCCUGUUUUUCAUUUUAAUAUUGAGGCUUAUGAUAACAGACCAUAUCAUUGCCAAUGAAAAAGAUAUCUGAAGGAAAACCUGUAGUAUUUUAUUGCUUUGAUUAUUAUGUGUCCCGUGAAUGUCUUAUUUAUCCUUUUAGUCUUAAAACAGUAUGUUUGAAAAGUACACUUUCAAAGCAAAUUGUUGUUUCAAUGGUGAGUCAGAUCCCAAAGAGUUCACUACUAUAAAUGGCAAACAUUUGGUUUAUCACCGAGAAAUAAUCUUUUCAGGAUUGAAAUGCAAAAGUGUUUGUUAUUUCCUCCCAAGCUUAGAGAUAAAGAAUACUAUAUUAUUCUGAAGAUCUGGGUUGGGAUACUGUAGAUGUUGACCAUGUAGAAUGGAUACAUUGCUAUAAGUCCUAAGUACUUGCUGUUCCUCAAAUCUAGGGGUAAGAUAAGAUAGCAAGUCCUACUCCAUGUAGGUAUACUUAAUGUAAGAACCAGAGGACGGUAGAGAUUAGUUAUCUGUGUGGCCAUCCUCCAUACUCCAGGCCAUCCUCCAUACUUCCAUGAUUAUCUUCAUAAAACAUAACUCUGCCCAAGCCACCUACCUGCUUAACAGCUUUUGAUGGUUCUCUAUUGCCCAAGGAAUAAAGUCCAAACCCUUAGCUUGCAGGUAGGGCCCUUUCCAGCCUGGCUACAACCUUGCGUUAUCUCUCUCUCUCUCUCCCCCCAUCCCCAUUUCUCCCCACCCUCCUCCAUGUGCACGCACGCAUGCGCAAACACACACACACACACACACACACACACACACACACACACACACAAACACACACACACUUUAUACCCUUCAGACCAAUAAUGCUAGGUACCAACAAUGUGGGGUAAGAACUAGAUUUAUACAAUUGAAUAUGAUAAUUAGUCUAUAACAAGAAAAGUGUGUUAACAGAUAGUGGAUGAUUCGGGAAUGGAAGAGUCAGUGAACCACCAAAAUAUUCUAGAAAGUGAGUAUUCACCUUUAUUGGCAUGUGGAUCACCUGGGGAUCUUGAUACAAUGCAGAUAGUGAUUCAGUAGGUCUGAGGUGUCUAGGGUGGGGCCUGAAAUUCUGCAUUUCUGACAAAUCCUGGGUACUGCUGCUGCUGCUGCGUGUUGUUUGCUGCCCACUUUGAGUAACAAGAUUCUAGGGUGCACUGUCCAAUGUGGAAGCCCUAGUCACAUGGGACAAUUUAAACUUAAAUUGAUUAAAAUCAAAUUAAAACUUAAAUUGAUUAAAUUGAUUAAAAAUAUAGACUAAUAAAAAAUAAUUAGUCUAUAACAAGAAAAGUGUGUUAACAGAUAGUGGAUGAUUCGGGAAUGGAAGAGUCAGUGAACCACCAAAAUAUUCUAGAAAGUGAGUAUUCACCUUUAUUGGCAUGUGGAUCACCUGGGGAUCUUGAUACAAUGCAGAUAGUGAUUCAGUAGGUCUGAGGUGUCUAGGGUGGGGCCUGAAAUUCUGCAUUUCUGACAAAUCCUGGGUACUGCUGCUGCUGCUGCGUGUUGUUUGCUGCCCACUUUGAGUAACAAGAUUCUAGGGUGCACUGUCCAAUGUGGAAGCCCUAGUCACAUGGGACAAUUUAAACUUAAAUUGAUUAAAAUUAAAUAAAAUUUAAAACUUACUUCCUUGGUAAGCAGUUAAGAUGGUAGCCACAUCUUAACUGCUACAUAGGCUCAUUUGGCUAGUGCCUACCAUAUUGAAUAGUGCUCUAUUUGUAUCAUCGCAGAAAGUCCUAUUGGACAGCACUGUUUUCUAGAGCACUAUUUUUCAAACUGUUUUCUACAGACUACCUCUUAAAUCAGAAUCUCUGGAGACGGGGGUUGGAAAUUUGCAUUUUACAUAAACACCCCAGGGUGCCUUCUGCAUGUUAAAAUUAGAGGAACACUUCUAUAGGGGAUCUAAAAUCUGCUGUCCAGAGGUAAAUUUAAUGUGAGAAUAGGCAAAUAUCACAGACAGACAUGGGGCAGCUCAGCUUAAAUUGGAAUACCCUCUUGCCAGCCAUGAGAAUCAUAUCCAGUUGUCUACAGGUGCAGCAGAUUUUGUCUGGCAGAGAUGACUUCUGACACCAAAGCUACACAGGCAGUCUGGGCAACAUAGAUCUUGUCUCUACAAAUUUAAAAAAUUAGUUGGGCAUGAUGGCACGUGCCUAUAGUCCCAGCUACUCAGGAUGCUGAGGUGGGAGGAUCGCUUGAGCCCAGGAGGUUGAGGCUACAGUGAACCAAGAUUGUAUCACUGCACUCCAGCCUGGGCAUCAGAGUGAGACCCCAUCUCAAAAAAAAAAAAAAAAAUGGCUACAUAGGGUGGAGGAAGUAUAGUCCUCAAGCCAGUGGCUUUCUGCAGGUGUGCAGCUGGUCCCAGGUGUGUUCUCUGGUCUCAUAUGCCUUCUUGUCCUCCAAGUGCUAACAUCUGGUGAGGACCACAGCCUACAUCUGGUUUCAAGGACGACUCCCAGUCCUGGAAGGUACAAUCAACUUAUUCUUUUUCAGAUCUAUUGGAUCUGCCUUUCCUGCCCAGGAACAUAUCUAGGGAAAAUCUUUUCAUUUUUUUUGUCACAUUUCAGAUAUAAAAAGAAGUUCCAUUUUCAGGGAUCAAAAAGUUCAGCCCAAUCUUAAAUCAAAAUUUCAUUUUCUUAUCCAGUUUUAUGCUUGUUUCUUUCUUCUACGUCCCCCUCCUCUCCCAGCUCAGAUGUAGUCUUGGUGUAGAAUUUCAUUUGCCUUGCUCCACAACCUUUCUAAUGGCUUUGAAGGUUCUGACAGUCAAGGAGAAAGGCAAAGCCACCUCCAAUCAGUGCUAGUAUAACCUGGCCAUCAGUGCCUUCUGUGUGUCAAAUGCCCAGUGGAUUUUCUUAGAUUUCCUUUGUGGUUUUUAUGGAGAACCUCUGCUGGCACUGUGUGUAUUGUACCAUUCUCUAGCUUACUUCUGACAGUCUCUGCUCACAUCCUGCCCUGCAGAAGCACACUCCUGAAGUUCCCUAGCCCAGUGGCAGCCUUCUUGACCAAGUCCUUUCAGGAUGACUUGAGUCUAUUAAUAGUUCCACUUGAGGUGACUACUCAACUAAAUAGGUAAUUGGCUGCACACCAGACUGGAAGUGUCACCUGCUCCCAUGCUACUCUUGAGGGCUGCUCCAGACAGUCCACAACUGUCAGAGUUCUGCUACUUCCCCAAGUGCUGGAAGUCACAUGUCACAUUCUCCCAGGAACUGCUGCUCCUCUCCUCUCAGAGCUAACAGUAGCACCAGGGUGUCUGAUUCUGCCAGGAGGUAGAUUCCUCUUUUGGCAAACACUUCCGUACUCUGAAGCAGCCUUUACUUGGCUUGGAGUGAUGGCAGGGAAUCAUGGGGAGGGGAAGGAAAAUGUCACAGCACCCUUACACUUAUAAGUCCUCUUUCUUCAAAGAGUCUGCUUAAUCUCUUUUUUUCUAAUACAGCCUGGAGAAGGGUGAUGGCGGCAACUAAAGAGCCAUUCUGGCUCUCUGUUGGUAAAUCCUGCGUGGAUGUGUAUGUUGGACGCCCCUUGUCCUGCACCUACAUCCUUUCAGACCACUUUUUUCCCUCCAGCCAUUGGGUACAGCAGACUGGCUGCAUACAGGUGAAGCCAGACAGCAGUUCUCCUCACCUGCAUGAUUUUCAACCCUGGAAUGUCACAUCUGAGUGAGACCCUUGCAAGGACCUUCUCAGUCAUUCUGGUGCAUGUACAAACCUGGAAGUGUGUGGUAGUUAACACCUCAAGGGGUAAUGAAUGCUUGGCCAGUGUGGAUUAGAAGCCAGUGGGUAAGUUAUCUUGUCUUCCAACCCUUUGGCAGACAAUUCCGAGGUGUAUUCUCCAUCGUUCCUGAGAGGAUUGUCAGGCUAGUAGCAGCGAACUUCUGUGCCCAUGGUGGCAACCAGCUGGAUAAUUCACCCUCAAAUUGGCCUUCCUUCUGUUUCCGUCUUCCCAGUCCCCACUCCUGUUUUUUGGGGAUCAUUUCCCAAAAUAUACUUUCUGCAUGCAAUUCCUUGUCCCAGGCACUGCUUUUUUGGGGACCCAGUCUAAAACAACAUGUUCAUUACCUCUCUUUAGAAUAUGUUGAUACUUGUCAUUUAUUGUCCUUGCUUUGGGGAAAAUUCUAGACCAAAGGAGAAGUCCCAUCUAACAUCCUUCUGUACAUCGUUACUGGAAAUGAAGAGCUGACAGUCAUAGACUGAUUGCCAAGCAGAACCCCACACUGCUUAACAGCUUGCACAGCGUUCCUGUUGACGUGUUGUUGCUGAGAGCACUUUCCAGUAAUCUUUCUGCACACAAAUCACCAGCUCAAUCUGUUUCCUGGGGAACUUGAACUACAACAGAAUGAUACUGGGGAGUUUGCAAAAUCAAACUAAAUAUAGGCAGCAGGAAGGACACAAAGCAGGGGAGCCCCAGAAAUCUUAGUGGUAGAAACUUUUAAACCUCUUAGGGUACCACCAGGGUAUCUCUGCUCAAUAUUUAAAUCCCUGGAAGGGAGCCUCUCAUUGGCCUUGUUUGGGUUGGGAAUCAGGGCCCUGUGGUGAGAACUACCUGGGGUAGUGGAGAGGAAAGAGAAGCAACCUGUGUCUUCCAGACCAUGGUAUCUGAAAUUUUCUUGGAGGAAGUCAAAUAAAUAUGUGGGUUGAGGAUGGGAGCUCUAAGCAGAGGAUGUGGUGGCUCAUUUAAGAUCACACAUUGACAAAGAGCACAGUGGUGUCAGGAUUCUGGGACAGAGGCAAGUUAGAGAUAAAACUCUUGAUGUUUUUCCCAAGGUCCAUCAUACAACUGAAAUGGAAGACUAUGGCUUGCUGACCAAUUCUUGCUCAUUUGCGGUUACUUUAUAUAGGGGGAUAAGUGUCCCUUCAGGUGGACUGAGAGUCACCAGAAGAUUUAGUGGAAGGACCCUGCCUCUGGGGAUGCAUAUGUAGCUGGUACUAAUGAGUACUUUCUAUGUAUCAGAAAGCCACCAAAUACCACUCUUCCUCCCCUGAGUUCAGAACCACCUGACAGACAGACACAGGGGUCAUAUGGGGCUAGGUCGAAAGAUCAGCUUGAUUGAUAAUGGAUUGGUGGAUGUAGCCUGGGUAUACAGCUUCCUAGUACUAGACUCCUACAUCAGAGACAUCCAUUCUCCAACCAGUCACGAGAAGAACUGGCCAGACACCGUAGGCUUUCUCAUUAGGGCAGGAGCUCAGCGCAUGGCAUGUCCACACUGAAAGAAUGAGAGGAAGAAAUGAAUGGAAAAUACAGGUGGUAUUGAAGAAAGAGCACUCUUCCUGUAGGGGGUCAGAUCCAAAAUAAAGAAACCAGAUGGGGCUGAAUCUAACAUGCUCUGCUCCUUCUGUAUAACUCACCACCCAGAGUGAGGAGGAGUGAGGGGAGGAGGAGUGAAAGGACAGAUGUGUCGCUCUGGCUAAAGUCCUUCCAUGUGCUCACAUGGAGCUGGGGAAGAGGAAGUGUGGAACAACUACUUUCCAUAUAUUUACAUAUAUUAGCAUAUCUAGUUUCACAACACUAUGAAGUAUCACUGUCCCCAUUUUAUAGAAGAGGAAACUGAGGCCAAGGCCAUCUUCCAAGGAUGUGCUGGCUUGGGAUUUGAACCAAGGAACUAAGUGUCCUCUGAUCUGAAAGCCCAUGUUGUUUUCAGUGCCCUUUACCUGCUCCUCAUUUGGAGUGCAGGGGAAGGGGAGGACUCCUGGCUCUCUUCUCCAGCCCUCACAGGGGUCCUGAAACUUCCAGCUCACUUUGGGCCUGGUUGCUUGAGUUACCUCAUGUACCUGAGUCCACAAAGGCUUCUAUGGGAAUGUGACAGAUUUGAAGGGGCAGUCACUGGGCCCGUACCAGGAAGGCUGGGAAUAGGGCUCCUUUCCUGUGGUGCUAAGCGUUGGUCUCCCCUGCAGGACCUAUACCUGCUUGCUAGACCAGGCUGUCCUCAGAUGGCCAAAGAGGCUGCCACAAAGGCCUCACCUUGCCUCCCACCAGGACACCUGGGCCAGGGCAAGAGCAGCUGCUUUAGCUCAGCCCUUCAGGUCAGGUCUGCAGUAAUCAGCUCCUUCCAAGAAAAGCUGGGCCCAACGGGGUCUCUGUUAGCUUAGGCAUGCCCUUUAGGCUUAAUUCUCUCUGGUUGUGAAGCCCCAAGACUCAACCCAUCCCCAGCUGGCUAGUCUAUUCUGUUGGAAUCUGACAUUUUCCCCAAACCUCGCUUUUCUUUUGGUUUCCUUACAAGCCUUUGUGUCUUCACCAAGUUGUUACAUUUCUUGUUUUUUCAGUCUCUGCAGAUGUUCCAACCACUACACAUCCCCCUUCUCCCCCUCCAUACCCAUCUUCCUCUUCCUGUCUCCCUUUAUCCUUCUGUCUCUUCUUCCUCCUCUCUUCUUAUUGCUCAUCCCUGACCUCCGUCUCGACCUUCCCCUCUUUUCCUCUCUAAUCCUUCCCCUUGAACCCCAGGGAUAUAAGCCUGUCUGCAGAGGAAAGAUCUUUGUCACGUGAUUAAUAAAUCCCCAACAUGUUAUUUGGUAGAAGGCAGCACAAUAGGAGUUUUCUUCUAGAGGCAAAGGGGCCAUAAAGGAUUUCCAAAUAUAGAAAAUCACCUGAGGACGCUGAGCUCAGGGCAGCUGCAGCAGGGGUGAAGGUGGGUCACAGCCCCCAACCCCCACGGAGACGAAAGGUAACAAAAGGAGAAGGGAAAAUUCCAUACCUCAUUUUAUUCUCUUGACAGUUUUGCGCAGAAUUACCCCUGUCUGUAUUAUUAUCACUUGUAAAAGCAUUUUUUUCAUACCAUUUAAUCUAUUAGCCUUUUAUUAAAGCCUAGAUAAAAGUAGGAAAAAAAAAAUCUCAUCAACAUCAGCCACCAGAAGGGAAAUUUCAGACACUGAGAUGAUCAGAUUUCCAAGUUUAUUGAAAAACCUAUAGAUAACUGCAUGGCUGCUCAUGCUAUUUUAUAAAACAAGUGCAGCCAGGCGAGCCAUUUAAUAACGUGGGAAUUGUCGGCUGUGCGGAUAGUGGACAGCAUGAGCUCACCUCAUAAAGGCGUAGGCUGUCGUGGAAAUGAACACUGGGGCACACUGCGGGCCGGCAGCACAGCGUCACUCUGCAGACUGAGUCUCCCAGCUUCUCGGGAGCCGUCCACAGUGCAGCCAGCCACUAUGGGACACGGUGCCUAGGUCUUUCCAAGAACAGUAGAGCCCACACUUAUCCCCUCCCAUGUCAGCCACACUCUGGAGCUCACAUUUGGAGUAGUGAAAGGCUUUCAAAGGUAUUUAAUCUCACCACAAUCAUGAGAUAGGUAUGAAAACCCUCUUUUCCAAAUGAAGAAAUUGACCACCACAGGAGGGAAGGAACUUUGGUGAAUCCACAGAGUGGAGUGGCGGUGCUAGGGUGAUUACCUAGGGGUCCAGUUCCAGUUCCUGUUCUCCUUUUGCUCCAUUGGGCUUAUCCCAUCACCAAAAACAGUCUAGAGCCAGAGAUGUUAAAGAAACCACCCUUUGACCUGCAGGGUAAGUGUGUGAGAAUUGGUGGGUGGGUGGGGAUAGGGGAGUCAGGUUUGGGCAGUAGAAUGGAGAAGUAAUGUAUACUCUAAAUAGGUUCAUUUCCUGACUCCCCCACUUAUCUCUGUGACCUUGUAUAUGUCACUUAACUUCUCUGUGCCUCUAUAAAAUGAGGAAUGAUAAUAAUAUCUACCUCAUAGGUUUGUGAUAAAGGUUAAAAGAGAUAAUGGAUCAAGCAUUUAAUACAGUAUAGUAAGUUGGAUAAAUGGUAUAGAGUUGGGCCUACUUUUGGAAUCAAAAGGAAUUUGUAAAAGUGCCUCACACAUGCCUGUCCUGUAGAGGUGAGCAAGUAUUUUCAAUCCCUUCCUGAUAUCUUUCCUGUGGCUAAGAAUCCUUACAGGCACUUGGGGCCCCUGCCUUCCUUGCUGUGGACUAGGAUGCCUGUAGGUACCAGGUUAGAAGAGCUGCUUCUUGAAAUUGCCAUGUGACUGUACAAUGUGCUAUCUGUGGCCCUGCCAUUGACUCACAGUAUAACCUUGAGCUGACCUCAGUCUUACCUGGAUGGGUCCCUGUUUCCUUAGUUAUAAAGGGAUAAAGACAGAGCUAUGUUUGAGGAAGUGUAGUUUGUGAACUUCUACAUCAGAAUCAACUCCAUUGUUGAUGGCUGAAAAUGUUGAUUCAUGGGCCUUCAAGUUGGCUCAAUCACAAUCUCUAAUGGUGUUCUAGAGUGUAUAUUUGUAAAAAGCCCUCUCCACUUGCCCCAUGCCCUGGCCUAACUCUCAGAGAUUCUGAUAUAAUUGACCAUUAAUACAUCAUGAAAGUAAAUAAUGGAUUAAUAAAUUAAAAAUUGAUUUACUUUUUAACUUCGGUUGUUUUUAAGAUUUUCCCGUUUGUUUUUGUUUUUUAGCAGUUUUACUACAUGUGCCUAAAUGUGGUUUUCUUUGAACUCCUCUAGUGUUCAUAACACUUCUAGAAUCUGUGAUUUGAUACCUUUUGUCAGUGUUGGAAAAUCCUCAGUCAUCAUCUCUGUAAAAAUUGUUUCUGACCCAUUUGUUGUUUUCCUCUCCGGGACUCCAAUUACAUGUAUGUUGGACCUACUUACCAUGUCCCAUUAUGUCCCAUACAUGCCCCUCUACUACCACCUGUAUUUUCCAUUCAUUUUUUCCUCUCAUUCUUUCAGUGUGGAUAUUUUCUAUUGACCUGUCUGUGAAUUCAGUAAUCUUUUUAUCAGCUGUGUCUAGUUUGCUAUUAAAUCCAUCUAUUUAGUUCUUAGUUUUAAUUAUUGUAUUUUUCAGUUCUAGAAUUUUCAUUUGAUUUUUUAAAAUAGAUUUUAACUCUUUGCUAAAAUUAAUUUCUUGGACAUAUUAAUCAGUUAUUUUGAAAGUCUUUGUGUGAUCAUUCCAACAUCAGAGUCUCCUUCGAGCUUUUUCUUUCUACGUCUAUUUUUUCUCUUGGUUUCUGGCCUUGCACAUCUCCCAAUAUACUUCAUAAUUCAUUUAUUUAAAAAAGUUUUUUUUUUUUUUUUGAGAUGGAGUCUCACUCUGUUGCCCAGGCUGGAGUGCAGUGGCGCGAUCUCUUGUCUCACUGCAACCUCCACCUCCCGCAUUCAAGCAAUUUUCCUGCCUCAGCCUCCCAAGUAUCUGGGCCUACAGGCACAUGCCACCACGCCUGGCUAAUUUUUUUUUUUUUUGUAUUUUUAGUAGAGACAGGGUUUCACCACGUUAUCCAGGAUGGUCUUGAUCUCCUGACCUCGUGAUCUGCCCACCUCACCUCCCAAACUGCUGGUGUUACAGACAUGAGCGCCACCACACCUGGUCUUGUUUUUGUAACUUUUUAUUGAAUGUCAGGCAUUGUGUAUGAAAAACUGAAGAGAGAAUUUGAGCCUCUGGAUGAUGCUAUUUUCCCCUUAGAGCAUUUACUUCUGCUUUUGGAAGUCAAGAUAGGGGCAGAUUGUUAUAAUCCAGUCUGGGAUUGAGCAGAUUUGAAGCCAGGCUUUAGUCUUUGUGAAUACUGGCUUAUUUGGGUUAGUCCUUAUUCCCAGGCCUCAGGAGUUCCUUCUGAAAGCUUGGGUUGCAUACCAGGGCCGCUCCUUUUUGGUGAUGGCUGCACUACUUUUGUUUCCCCAGGAUGGUGGGGCAGCAAAGCUCUGCUUAGCUUUGUAGACUCCUGGCUGCCAGUUUCUACUUCAUUUCUCCUCUUGGCUUCUUCACUGAUCAGUUUCUACAAAGCACAACUUCUCAGCUUUUAAGUUUUUCUUAAGAAUCAACAAAUGCUUUGAGGCAAAAAGCUGUGCCAAAUAUCAGGUUCAGUUCUGUGCUUUCUUUCUCUCUGAGAUCUUGGUGCCGUAAGACCUCACCACAUUUGAUAGCUCUCUGAUGCGUUCAAACAGGGCAUUUCUAUUUGUUCCUGGUAGUAGAGUUGAUCUGAAUAUAUUAGCCUAUCAAAGGCAGAAAUGGAACUCCCUGAUAAUGGUUUUUAAUCUCUUUGGGUGAUUUGAAUGUAAGAUGCACUGGACAAAAUCAACUCCUUGCCACAUCAUAAGAACCACCUUAGGCUGUUGUUUAAAAAUGUUGAUUUUUCUGGUCCUAUCCUAGAUGUACUGAACCAGAAUUUCCAGAAAAAAAAGACUGAUUUGUUGUGUUAGCAAGUGCUUCUGACAAAGGCACACUUGAGAAGCACUGAAUAAGUGGCUCUUUAGAGUCCUUCUUGCUCUGGUUGCAUAUUCUGGUGACCCUAGUGACCCCACCCACCCAAUGAACCCUGUAUAUAUAGUGGCAGGAAAGAGCCUGGUUAUUCUGAUAUGCAGAGGGGCAGCAUGCUGCCUUUACCACCACCUUCGACUUUAUUUUGCAUUCUGUAACUCUCUCCAAAGAGAGAGUGGUAGCUCUCUUUGCUGAAUUAUUUCUAAUUUUUUCCAUGGACAUUUUAAUCAGAGAUGAAAAAUGACUGGUCUUUUGCUAGCAGUUCAAUCUAAGAGGAAGUUAUUUGCCUCUUAGAGGUACAUUAAUUUGCAAUGGCUUUCAUGCAGAAGGCAGAGGGAUAUUGUGGAAAGGGACUUGGAUUCUGGGGAUCAGGUAUAAGCCCAGGGUACUUGGCUUGGGAAUUGUAGUAGUCACUUGCCCCUUCCCUUCCUCCCUCCACUAAUGUAAGUUUCCUUUGCCUGCUCGAGGGUAUCUCCAAAUUAGGUUCUUUUCCAGCUACCAGUGGUAGGACUAGAGUACAGUUCUGACCCUGGUCUCUGGAACCCUUUCUCACCCCUGCUGGCUCCUCUCCAGUGGAUUCCCCACUGUCCUGCACCAACUCCCUCCCCUUCGUCUCUCACCCACCUCCUUUUCUCCUUUUCUUCUCUUGUCCUUCCCUUCUCUUCUCCUCACCUCCACCCCAAUCUUCUUUCCCCCAUUCCAGAAUCAGAACAGAGGCAGUAGUGUCCUGUUGUGGACCCUCCCUCAACUGCUUCGGCCUUCUCCAGGACCAGCUGUCAGCAGAAGCGGAGUUCAUGCAGGAGGGCAAAAUGGUCCAAUUCCUUUUCUCAGGGCUAUCUAGCAAGACCAGUUCCUGUGGUUCUCUCUGGCUCAUGUGAGGAUGCUUCCCACUUUGGAGGUGUAUGAUUGUCCUAGUCCGUGGCUACCCAGUAAGUGCUACUCAAAUCAGUAGGAAAACAAUGAAGUGUGCCCAGUGGUAAAGGGGCAAAGGACAUAAACAGGUAAUUCACACAAGAGGAGACACAGAUAGCCACAAAUAUAAGAACUACUUAAUUUCACAUUUCAUCAAAGAAAUGCAAGCUGAAACCAUGUGAGUAGUAAAAAAUAAUCAAACCAGUUAAGUUUGGGCUAUGAUGCAGGGAAAUGGACACUCAUACUGCUGGGAGAGUGUAUGUUUUUUAGUCUUUCUGGAGAGAAAAUUGGCAGAAUAUAACAAAAAUCUUAUAAUUUUCUAUGACUUUUGACCCUGUCAUUCUACUUUCAGGAAUUCAUCCCAGUGAAAUAAUGUAUGCGAUUUGCAAAAGUUCUAUACAAGUAUAUUCAGCAUGAGGCUGUUUUAUUGUAAUAGUGAUGACUGCUGCUACCCAGGGAAAUACAACCAUACUAAUACAAUAAUAAGGGGUUGCUACAUUCAUGCCAGUUGUACACUCUGUUGUCAUUAAAAACAUCAUACACAAAUAUUUAAAGAGGAAGAAUGUCCAAGCUCUUUUUUAAAAAAAUAAAAUAAAAGCAGUGUAUCACAAUAAUUGUAUUUUGGUGGGGAGGAACCAGCACAGAAAAAAGAUCAAUGGAUGCAAAAUGUUACCAUGUCUGUCUUGUGUGUUUUAUCAUACACAAAAAUCUAAGUAAUAUGAUUAUUAAAAAAAGAAGAAAACAAAAAUACUGAUUCCUAGCAUGUAGGAAGACUGGCCUGCAUUCUAGUCCUGAAUUUGCCUCUUGUUCUCUGUGAGGCUUUGGACGGGUCACCUUGCCUCUUUUGAUGGGCAGUUUCCUCAUCUAUAAAGCAGAUCUGGCCGCACGUAGCAGCAUUCAUGUCUGUUCAGUGCUUUACCAGUCCCUUUGCUAACCAUUGUUUUACUUUGAUCUCACAUCUGUGCCUUGUAGAUCAGCACUUUGUGGGCUGUUGGCUAUUUUACCAUCACUUGAUAAUUCGGUAUCUCCAAAUUAGGUUCUUUUUCCAGCUACCAGUGGUAGGACUGGAGUGCAGUUCUGACCCUCGUCUCUGGAACCCUUUCUCACCCCUGCUGGCUCCUCUCCAAUGGAGAAACUAACGUUAUUUUCAUGUACUGUGAUACAAAGAAAAGCUUCUUAAGGGUUAUUGGAGGGCAAGCAUUUGAAGGAACUAGAGUAGCCUGGCUAAUGACCUGGUGCAGUGGCUGAGUUACAGCUGGUCUGGAGGGCAGAUGAUCCACAGGGUUGGGUCUGGGGUCAGUUAGUAGUUGAGGAUGGGGAGGUUGGGAGCAGAUCAAGGCGGGACCGGAACAGGCCUAGGAGAAGUGUUGAAAAAGCCAGAAAACAGUGAUUGAGAGAACUGCUCCAGGUUGAGGGGAUGCUCUAGGAGUGGUAGCUUUGCUGGAGGUUCAGCUCAGGGUCCUGGGGGUCAGAUACCAGGACUUGGAGGCCUCAAGAAAAGAGUGGGGAGCCAGCCCAGCAGGGCUUAGCUGGGCAAAGGAGAGACAUUUUUAAGGUUGUGAGCAGGCAUGACAGGCACUACUGGAGAGCCCAGAAACAAGGAUUAGGCACGUGCAGGCUUACGUGCAAAUUGCAAGUCUGCGUUUCUGUAAAACCGACAACAAUGGAAAAUGUGUAAUAGAUGGACCAAUCUAAAGAUAGUCUGGAAAAAUGACCUCACUUAAGGAAAAACCAAGCAGUUUACUUCCUGCUCACUAGCAGGUCGAAGCCUAAUCUUUAAAACUGAUGUCCUUAUCUCAGAGCUCCCUAGGUGUUAAUGUUAGCCCUCACUGACAUGGUCUAUCUUCUCUGUAAAUACCUUUCCCUCUAACAACAACAAUAAAAAUGUAGCUUUCUAGCCUACGGGGCUGUUUUUUGUUUCCUAAUAUGCCCUGAACUGAACUCCUUGGUUUAUGGAAGAAGCUCAAUGUGAAACUGCAGAUGGACUCUUUUAUCACAAUCCUUUUAAUUACUGCACGUACCCAAUUUUAUUAUCCAAUUAUGGGUAAGAUUAAAGUUCAUCAAACUACAUGUUUUAUGUGAAGUUCCUUCAUUUCCAAAAGAUCAGUGGAACAUUAAAGAACAAAUGAAACAGUCAGUUGCAGAUUAUACAGGUUGAUUUAUCAUUGAUCUUCCAUAAACAGCAAAAACUAGUUCUGAUAUUUUCCCCAGCAUAAUAGGCCUAUGUAUACAGUACACUGUAUAUCUUUUCAUUCCAGCCUUGAAAAAAAUAUGAUAUAUCCCCAGUGGGAGUCAUAAUUUCGCUGAAUGUAUAGUGCUUAAGGCUCCACAGCGCCCAGCCAGUUUGUUACAGCAGAUGGAUGAGAGCCCACUGUUUCAUGAAAUUGCUUUUGAAUAUUUGCAGGAUGACCUUUUCCCACACUAUCCCACCAAAAUGCAUUAACUCCUUCUGCAUAAGAUGGAAAAAUGCUAUGCCGAACCACGCUCCUGCAAGGUGAAACGUGACAGCCUUUAAUAUAAAACCUUUCCUGACAUGUUCCCUGCUGUCAAAAACAAUCUCUGUUUCCCAGAAGUUCCCUUUCAGAGAGAGGAAAGUGGAAGGAGCAGACAACUCCUGGGUGACGUUUACCAAGGUCACGCAGCUGAUGUUGGGUGGUGCCAGGAUUAUAAUUCAGGUCUGGCUAUCUCCAAAGUGUUUGCUUCUUCCAUGCCCCUGGAACACAUUAUUUAUGCCUGUAUUGUAGCCUUUAUCCUUUUGUUCCAUUUUAUUUGAGCAAUUUGAGCCAAUUUUCCUUCCAUCAUAACGUGGGCUUAUGGUUUUAUGUCUGUUCCUCUUUGCCACCACUUCAAGUGUACCUUGCAUUUAGUAGCUAAUUGGUGUAUCAAUCAGGGUUCAAUCAGAGAAGCAGAACCACCGGGAGGUCCUGCGUGUAUUAAUAUAUAUUAGGUUUUGUUAUGGGAUUUGUUAGAGGAAUUUGGCUUUUGCAUCUUGUGCUAGAGCUUGAAGUCCACAUACCAGGUUGUUGGGUAGAGAAGAUGGAUGUGAAGCAGAGGAGAGCGAGAGCAUGCUGGAACCCCCAAGCACAAGUUGGAGACCAUGGGAUGGACUGGGCCCCGGGUUGCUUCUUUUGCCUCUGACCUUGAUGGUAUAGGUGUUCUACAAAAGCCAGGGCCCCUCAUCCUGCAGCCAAGCGUAUGUUCCUGGCCUGGGAGUUGGAGAAGCUGAAGCACGAUGCAGGGGAGGAUGGAGCAGUUGCAGGCCUGGCUGUGAGUGAGAUCAGUGGCAGCGUGCGGAAGCAAAAGGCUGCUGCUUCUCUUCUCUCCAAAUCUCCCUUAAGGAUCUCCCUUGGGGCCUGCCCCAAUGGGAAACCUACAGGAGAGGGAGUCCUGGGAAAUGUAGUUCAUCUUAACCAAGUUGUCACAUUAGAAAGUCACUGUGGUCCACUUCUGUCAACUUGACACUCACAUGGAUCACCUUCAACCAUACUCUCCAAAUAAAGACAAGAGCAAAGUCAUGCUUCUGCACAACAUGACACAACCAAUGCACAUACAGCCAAACAUGUGCUCACCCUUUCCCUAGAAGAGGAUAGAAAACCCCUUUUUGUCUUGAAGUAACAUCUGCUCUUUUCUUGGCUGCUUCACACUCCCCCUUUGAUACAUGUAACUUAAAUCCUGAGAUACACGUGCAGUUGCUACUAACCCCAUCUAUGUAGAUGAUAAAGGAAUGGCAGAGGUGGAAACACAUAUGUGGUUCAUAUAUAUGAACAUGUAUAUCAAAAUUAGACAUACUCACAAAUAUUAUAAUCCUUAUUUCUGCAACUGGUCACAUGGUCAUAGCUGGUAUUUACAACCACCUUUAUUCAUUGUUCAUUCAACAUUUCUUUUGCCUUCAGCAAGAACGGCAGGUUGUAGGUCUAGGCCAGGAAUCAGAAAACUUUUUUUUAAAGGGUCAUAUAUUAAAAUGUAGGCUUUGAGGACCUUUCAGUCUCUGUCACAACUACUCAACUGGGAAUAGCUGUGUUACAACAAUAACUUUAUUUACAAAAACAGGAUUUACCAAGCUGGAUUUGGCCUGUGGGCUAUAGUUCACUGAUCACUGGCCACAGCCAUGAGCAGUCCUGCCUGAAUUGGGUUGUAUUGUAGUUUUACAUUGACUUUAAUCAUAGAACAAGGGAGUAUUAAAAGGCACCCCAGAGUAUUUCCUGAAUCCCAGACAUGCUCCUUCUUACCCUAUUAUGUAGGACCAACCCAUUUUACCCGUGAGAGUCAGGAUCAAUCAUUCCUGCCAGUGCAGUGACCCCUGUUGCCUGAUGACUCAAUGACAAGAGGGGCUCAGAGUGGCUGGGUGGCAGACUCAGCAUCCAGGUCAAUGGAACCACUGGUGUGUCCUCUGGUGGAAGCAUUCUUCUCUGUAGUUGUGAGACCUCUAGACACAGAGCCUAACGUCAUUGGGAUGAAACGUGUAACUUUUGUUAGUAGAUAUCUAAGAAUAAUAGGGACAGGAGCCACUUUGUCCCUGGUUAGAAGCUGCUGGCCCCUGAUGGAAAUAGUAGAAUUUAGCAGUCUCCAUAUUUUUAUUCAGUUAGCAAACACUUAUUAAGUACCUACUGUGAUGCCUGGCACUGGCUGGAAUGCAAUGGUCACCAAGACAAAGAUUGUUGCUCUCUUUCUGGAGUUCCCAGUCUAGCAGGGGAGAUAGACAUUACACAAAUCAGCAGACACAGAGUUACAAAUGGAUGCUGUGAUAGAAAAUAACAGAGGGGACCUACUUUAGUUAGGGGGCCAUAGAAAGCCUCUCUAGGAAAUGACUUUCAAAAUGAGACCUGAAAAAUAAGAAAAGUAGAUUUAUACUAGGACCAGUGGGAAGAGCAUCCCAGGCAUGGAGCAGCUUGAUAAAGGCCCUGGUUUUUUCCAAUCCAGUUUGAUGGAGAAGAGUGAGCCCUGGAAAAUGUGGCAUAAACUUGGAGAGAGAGUCACAGGAUGGAUUAUGCAAGGCUGCAGGGCCAAACGGUUAGGAUUUUAUGCAUUGGGUAUAUUGAGCAGCCAUGGAAAGGUGUUAAGCAGGGAUGUGGCUGCUUUGGUUGCUGGUGGAGAGUGAUUGGUAGGAGGGCAGGAGAGGAUGUGAGGAGAUAAGGCAAGAGGCCCUUCCGGUCAUGCCAGUAAGACACGAGGGCACCUUGGGUCAAGUGGUGGUUGUGAAAAUAAGUGGGUGGAUACUGAAGAUAUAUUUUGAAGGUAGUAUUGCUAGUGCUUGCUGAUGGUUUGAUUGUAGAGGAAAAUGAAAAAGGAGGAAUCAAGGAUGACUCUCAGAUUUUGGGCAGAUGGGUGCUUCUGCUAUGUAUGUACUAGAGAAGAUUGGCAGAAAAAGAGGGUAAAAUGAAUUUUUUAUUGUAGUAAAAUAUAUAUAACAUAAAAUUUAUCAUCCUAACCAUUUUAAAGUGUACAGUUCAGUGACAUUCAGUACAUUCACAUUAUUGUACAGUCAUCACCAUCACCCAUCUCCAGAAUUUUUCCAUCUUUUCACUCUGAAACUAUGUGACCAUUAAUCAGUAACUCUUCAUUCUCUGACCCCCCUCCUGCCCUUGGCAACCACUAUGCCAUUUUCUGUUUCUAUGAAUUUGACUACUCUAGGACCUUGUAUAAGUGGAAUCAUACACUAUUUAUCUUUUUGUGAUUGACUUAUUUCACUUAGCAUUAUAUCUUCAGGGUUCUUCCAUGUUAUAGCAUGUGUCAGAAUUUCCUUCCUUUUCAAGGCUGAGUAAUAUUCCAUUGUGUGGAUAUACCACAUUUUGUUUAUCCACUCAUCUCUCAAUGAACACUUGGGUUGCUUCCACUUAUUGACUAUUGUGAAUAGUGCUGCUAUAAACAUUGAUGUACAAAUAAGGGCUCAAGUCCCUGCUUUCAUUUUUCAGAAGUGGAAUUGCUGGACUAUAGGAGAAUUCUGUGUUUAAUUUUUUGAGAAACCAUAUUGUUUCCAUAGCAACUACACUAUUUACAUUCCCAGCAACAGUGCACAAGUGUUGCAAUUUUUUAUACCCUUGUCAACAUUUAUUUUUUAUUUUUUAGUGAUAGCCAUUUUAAUGCAUGUGAAAUGGUAUCUCAUUGAGGUUUUGAUUUGCAUGAAAUACAAAUUUAAGUUUUGACAUGCUGGGCUUGAGAUUCUUGUGAGACAUCCCAGUGGAGGUGUCAGGCAGACAGUUGGAUGUCAGAGGCUGGAGUUCUAAAGAAAAGUAGGGUUAGAGGUUAAUGUUUGUGUCACCAGCACAUAAGUGAUUGUGCAGGGCCUGGAGGAGGCCACUGAGAGAGUUAAAGGAGAGCACCCAGACUGGGUCCUGUGGAAAUCAACCAAUUAGAGGUUGGGGAGGAGAGGAAGAAGUGGUAAUUGCCCUGAGUGGAAAAGCCAGUGCAGUAUGGGAAGCGGGAGAGUGGUCCUGUAGAAGCCCAGAGAGGAAGCUGCUUUGAGUAGGAUGGAGUGGCCACCUGUGUCAGGGGAGCUACGAGGCCAAGUGAAUUCAGGUAGCUUGGGUCAUCUAGAUGCCGUGCUGGUGCGGAAGGGAUUUGAGGAGCUGGGGCUCCAGCAAGUGUGAGGUGAGUUUGAACUAUCAUGGACAGUUUUCACUGUAGCCACUGAGGUUACUGCUUUCAGAAACUGUAUCAUUCAAUUCUGCAUUCCCUGUCUGCAGGUUGGUGGAACCUGCAGAAGUGCCCAUUGUCCUUUCCUGUUUUAAGUGGGUAGAGGACAGCUUUUCCAUGAGGUUCCAUAUUAGGCCUUGCUAAAGCCUCUUUCUGGAAUGGAGAGUCAGCAAAAUUGUUGGGUCCAAAAGAGGGGUGCUUAUGCAAAUUGGGAUGGUAUAGUUGGCUCUGUGAGUGUCCUGAUAUAUAGAAAUGUAUGUCAUUUAGGGCUUGCAUUGGUUCCAUGUGACAGAAAACUCAUCUAACUGUGGUGUAAUCACACAAGAGUUGGUUUUUCACAUGUAACAAGAAUCCUAAAGAAGCCUGUCCAGGACUGGUUCAGUUCCUUGAAGGAUAAACCAAAAGUCCAAUUGUCCAGGUUUCUUUUGGCUUUCUGCUUUGCCAUUGUUAAUGUGUGCUUUUUAUCUGCAUGGUUGCAAAAUGGCUGCUCUUCUUCCAGCCCUCACUUUCACAUUCCAGGCAGGAAGAAGAUAGAAAGGCAAAGGCACAGACCAUGCCAGCUGAAUCAGUUUUGUUUUCCUAAGUUCUCACACAGUAGACUUCUGUUUGCAUCUCAUUGGCUGGAUGGGUUCACCUAGUCUAGCUGUAGUGGAACUGGAGAGGUAUUUUUAAUUGGACAUAUUGCCAUGCUGAACAAAAUCAGAGUCCUAUUGUUGGAACAGAAUAUGGAGAGAAGGAGAGAAUGGGUAUUAGCUAAGCCACUAGCAGCAGUGUCUACUGCAGCUAGGAAGAAAGAGUGAUGGGUUGGGGGUUCAGGAGAGGAGGAGGCAGAGCAUGAGAAUCGCGGUGGCUCAUGCCUGUAAUCCCAGCACUUUGGGAGGCCGAGGCAGGUGGAUCACCUGAGGUCAGGAGUUUGAGACCAGCCUGGCCAACAUUGUGAAAACCCAUCUCUACUAAAAAUUAGCUGGGCGUGGUGACACACACCUGUAGGCCCAGCUACUUGCAAGGCUGAGGCAGGAGAAUUGCUUGAACCUGGGAGGCGGAGAUCGCACCACUGCACUCCAGCCUGGGCAACAGAAUGAGAUUCCAACUUAAAAAAAAAAAAAAAAAAAAAAAAAGGAGGCCCAGCGCAGUGGCUCAUGCCUGUAAUCCCAGCACUUUGGGAGGCCGAGGCGGGCGGAUCACGAGGUCAGGAGAUUGAGACCAUCCUGGCUAACAGGGUGAAACCCUGUCUCUACUAAAAAUACAAAAAAAAAAAAAAAAAUUAGCUGGGUGUAGUGGCGGGUGCCUGUGGUUCCUGCUACGCGGGACGCUGAAGUAGAAGAAUGGCGUGAACCCGGGAGGUGGAGCUUGCAGUGAGCCGAGAUUGUGCCACUGCACUCCAGCCUGGGGGACAGGGGGAAACUCUGUCUCAAAAAAAAAAAAAAGGAAAAAAAAAAAAGAGAGAGCAAGGCCACUGAUGCCUCAGUGGUGCUCAUUAUAAAGCUGAAAUGUCAUGUCAGCAGUUUUUAAACGGACUUGAACUAUUUUCACCUCUUUCUAAAUCGGUCUUUCUUGACUCAGCAAAUACCCAAAAUGUUUCCUGUUACUCUAAUUUGUACCCUCAUUUGAAUCUGCUUCUUUACAAAUGCCCAACUCAUGAGACCAUAACAUUUUUCUUUAUUUAUAAAUAAUUCUUUCUGGCUGUUUAGGAAAAGAAAAAGAUGGAUAAUUAAAAAACACAUAAUUACCCCCAAACUACAUUAAUUCUACUUUGGUGUCCCAGCAGGGAACUCCAUCCUGUAGAAUUCAUGAAUGCCUGACCUGGAGAAUUGUAAUGAAAAAAAGUCACAGGAGACCAACAUGUUGAAUUAUUGAUUAGAAGGGGUUUUUCCAGGCUCUUUUGGCUUGAUUAUACACUCUAAAAGAGGCAACACAGAGGGAGAGACUGAAGAUGCAGAGGUUUAGAGUGGGUAAGAGAUGGGAAACUGCUGUGUUGCAUUUACCUUUUUAUGAAGCUGUAGCUGUGGAGUUCAUGGGCAGUGGCUCAAAAAAAGGGGUCUUGGAGGAGGAACUUAAGGAUUGAAUAAUAAGAGUCCCAUGCUUGCUCAGCAGCACAGAUACCAAAACUGGACCUAUACAGAGAUGAGCAUGGACCCUUUGCUAGAUGACGUGCAAAUCUGUGAAGCAUUCCAUGAAAAAAAAAAAGAGAGAUCCCUUUUUCGGUCUUUUGACAAAGAGAUUUCUACAUAUGAAUACUGUGCUUAUCCCUUCGAGUGGGCAGGUGGACCAGGAGCCUUCCUUCACUGCACACUUACUCUGAGAAUCCUGGCAUCUUAACACAGGCUCCCCAGAACCCCAUUUUCCUGAGAAUCAUGUGCUGGGCUUCCUGGGAGAAAUAGUAGAGAGGCCUCCUGGGACGAAGGCCUGAUUUUGGGGCAAAGGGAUCAAGAUUUUGGAACUAAGUCUGCUCUAUGCUCGCAAAGGAACAUCUAAAUAACCUAGAAAGCAUCCCGGGAAGGGUCAGUUGCUGGGCCUGGCUUCUAGCUAGGAUGCUUUUUUGUGGGUAAUGCUGGGUGCUGUCAUUCUGGUGGCUGCUAAGCCAGCCCUGGGUUGCUCAUCACCACCACCUGUGAGGUUGGCAGUGCCCUCUGGGACCCCACCCCUGCCUGCUGCUUUCUGCCUUGCUGGCAGCAUUCUGUGGCCUUCUCUCAUCUCAGUCCAUCCAGAAGCUGCGGCAUGUGUCCCUUGCUCUCCCAGAAUGGUCCCUGGCCCCUUCGCCCUCAGACACAGUGGGUGCCCCCCUCCCUUUUAUCAGAAUUCUGCUCACUUGUCACUUCCUCCAGGAAGAGUUCUGGCACCUCUUUUUCCUAUACUAGGUCAAGGCCUCCUGUUAAACACUUUCCAAUGUCUGGUGCUUUUUAUUCUUAUAGUUUAUUGCGGUUUGUAAUGAAACGUUUAUUUACAGGAUGAGUUGCUUAACAUCUAUCUUUGUCAUUAGGCUGUAUGCCCCACCAGUGCAGGUGCCAUGCCUGAUGUUGCUUACAGUGAUAUCUCCAGAGCCUUCCUCACCACUGGGCACAUAGUAGGCUUUGACUAAACAACUCUUCCUCUCCACCCCCUAAGGCUGAUUUACAGUUCCCAUUUUAUGAAUGUGGAGGCUCAGAGGAGUUCAUUGACUGACCUGAGGUCACACAGUAAAGGUUACUGGUGAGGGUUGAGCUGGAAUUCACACCCACAUCUGGGAGGUGCGAAUUCCAGCUCAACUCCUGCACCCAGGGAGUGGGCGCUAGUGAGCCUGGAGCAGAGCAGAUGGCAGCAGCCUCGUCCUAACACCAAGGAUCUUGCUGCAGCGGGCAGUGCCGUGGACUCGCACACCCUGGAUUCGUUGUUGGUGGCCACUCUCCUUGUCUGAAUGAUGUCCCCUGUGUCCCCUUGUGCUAGUGGAACCUGUGAGCCUGUCCCCAGUGGGUACAUGAGGACCCACUAUAAGGCCACUUUUCUCCAGCCAGGCUGGGCCUUAGGAUGCUCAGCCAGAGUCCCCACCUCGCCAUGCCUGGAUUCCUUCCUUAAUUUGACCCUUUGGAAUCAGGGCACACCUUUGCCAGCAGGACACCAUCCUUCGUUGCUGUGUGACAGUUUUGAAUUUAGGGCAGAUUCACCUAGAGCUGGCUAUUCCACCAUUGUGCCACCCACAGACACUUCCAUCUCGCCCCCCUUGUCCUCCGAGACUCAGCAGCUGGCACUGUGUCCCUGACCCAGAUCAUGUGUCUGGACACUGCCUGCCUCCUGUGGGUGCUGGUUCCAUGGUGGCCCAGGAACCCUUGCUGACAGCAGGGCCCCUCAGCCAGGGCCUGGCACGCUCUGCCCAAGCAGAUGGCGCUGGAAUGUGAUGAGACUCCCUUUCAGGGAGGGAGUGGAGAGAGGAGGGUUGGACACAGGACCUGGGUAUUAUUUGGAAUCACUUUGUCACUGGAGAUGUACCAGGUGCAUCCUUAGAGCUCAAAGCAGAGUGACCGUGCUGCAGCCAGAUGGCCUCUGAAGCUCCCAGCACAGAUCUGCGUCUCCUGGCUGGGGAAGGAGGCAGGCUGAGGGGUGGAGAGGCCUAGAGGGUGGAUGAAGGAGAGCCAGUGUGAGCAUCUGGCCUUGUUCUCUCUCCCAUCACUGUUACUCUUCUUCUAGUCCCUUCCUUCUCACACUGUUACUUCAAACCCCUUUCUGUAAAAUCAUGCAACCAAUGUUACUGAGUGUCGAUUAUGUUCCAGAUCAGCUGUGCUUGGCUCUGGGGCUCCAUAGCUCUGCCUUGUUGGAAUUUCAGUCUAACAGGAGCGAUGCUCUAGAGAGGGGCAGGUCACCACCAGACAAGUGUGAACUUUCCCUGUGACAUGCACUCUGAAGGAGCAGGACAUGGUGUGAUGAAGGUCCAUUAUAGGGGGAGUGGACUAAGUCGGGGAGAUGGAAGCAGGCUUCCUGGGGAGAUGAUGCCGAUGCAGCCAUCUGAAGGACGAGCGGGAGUUAACUGGGAGAAGAGAGGAGGAAGGGUGUGCAGGCUGGGAACAGAGGGUGCAGGGUCUAUCGUUUGAGGGACAAGCAAAUUUGAGGGAGUCAGGGAAGGCCAAGGUGGUGAAAGUGGAGAGAUCCAGGGGGCCAUGGUGAGAAGGGACUCUGCUGGCUUCUAGGAUAAAAUCCAGGGUGUGCAGGGCCAUGGGAGGUUCUUUCCUAUUGUGGGCUGAGGGGAUGCAGGUUUCCCAGUAGGAACAGGAGGAAAGGGCGUGGUGGUGAUGGUGCCAACCGUCACCGUCAUUAGACCAUUAGCUGACACUUCCUGGUGCCUGCUGUGUGCCGGGCCCUGCUCUGAAGGCUUCAAGAAUUCUCAGAAAGAAGGGAAAAGGGUAAGGGGCAGGGAAGACUUCCAAAGCCUUUCCGGGCUUUAUUUGGAGUCAGCACAAAGGGAAUACUAGCAACUUCACAUACACACACACACACAGACACACAUACAAACACUCAGACACACACACACACAGACACACAUACAAACACUCAGACACACACACACACACACACACGGAUACACAAUUUCUCUAUGCUAAUUAACAUGAGUACUUUAUAAGUCAGUUUGGGUUGUCAAAUGCCGGACAUAAAGCCGAAAUGAUUUAAGAGAUUGGAAAGCCAAGAUGAUAUGAAUGCCUUUUACCUACAAUUUUUAAAUACAUUGGAAACCUAAAAACGAUAUUCUUUACAAGCAAAUUAAAUGUUAUUUGUUUGUUUUUUAAAGAGGUAAGUCAUAUGGUGGGUUUAGAACCGGUGUCUUCAGAGAUCAGAGUCAUCGCUUCCUUUAUUAGAAAGCAGAGGAGUCAGGAGACGUGCCAUUUAAUGCUGUGCAGCACCAGAGUACUUUUCUUUCUCUGGAGUGGACUGCGUGCAUCUUACUAAUGUUUGUGGCAGUCGUCUGAUAAUAGACUGCAUUAGAAAAUGUUACGCUUUUAUUUCAGAGCCAAUGUUUUGAAGGGCUUUACAGGAAAGAAGUGGGUUCUUAUCUCUGCCACAUGACCUUGAGGAAAGGUGAAAAUCUCUUUCCUGCUAAGAGUUGGUGCAUGAUUUAGAAUUCUAGGAGCAAAAAGUCAUUCUGCCCAUAGGAGUCUAGCUCACAUCCCACUGUGGAAACUAAUCUAACAUGCAGUUUCCUCAUCUGUAAGUGGGGACGACAAUAUUCUCUUUUAAUAAGGUGGAGAUUAAAUAGAAGGAUUCAGGCGAGAACAUAGAGCAUGUGGCAAGCUCAGUGAACGUGAGUUGUUGUCAUUUACGUGCACGUUGACAUGGGAGCACAUUCACAAACCCCUCCAGAUGCAUAGUCACAAUGAAACACGUGCAUACAUGCGCGCGCACACACACACACACACACACACUCAGAGGUUUGCUGAAAUUCUCCAACAGAAAAGUAAUUGUCGUUGUUUUUUUGCUUGUUGGAUUGGGUUUGACUGGGGCCAGGGUGAGUUUGACUUAGAAGGUAAAUGACCCCACCACUCAGCCUCCCCAACCAAUGCCCAACUAUGCCCUUGGUGGCUUCCUGCUGACUCUCAGGUAUCUUGGAUCUCCAACCCAGCCUGAGUGACCAUAUUACCCCCACAGGGAUCAGAGCAGCCAGUCCAGGUGCUUAAGCCAUCACUGGGACCUGCGCUGGCAGCCAAGAAGCUGAACAUGGUGGCCAAGUGAGUAGAGGAGCUGUGCCCCUUCAGGCUACCUCCUGCCCGGGCCCCACCGCCUAGGGGAGCAGAGAGGACAACUGCCUGGUCAGCUUCACCUUUACUCACUCUGGCACCUCUGCCUGGAAUACCCUCUCCACACCAACACUCAGGUCCAGCAUCACCCACUCUCUUGGCCUGGCUCAGAUGCCAUUUCCCCCCGCAGGGCCCUUUGGAUCCCCCUCCUCACCUCCUCUGAGCCUUUUUCUUUGGACCUCUCUUACAGAAUUCAGCAUGUCUACCAUGUACUAUGCCCAUCAGAUCUCCCGGAGUGUGGUCACCCCCAACACUCCACAUGAAGCUGGGCUCAGAGAGCAUUUGAUGAUCAGAGCUGCUCCAGGGAUCCUGUUUCCACAAAGGCACUGUCCCGAAUUUGAGUUUGAUCAGGUCACUCCCUUGCUUUAAAUGCUUCAUUGGCCCCCUCAGCACUUAGGAUAAAGUCCACUCUUUCUCAUGCCUCUAGACUGUUUGGUUUGAUGCCUCCCUACUUUUCCAGCCUCAUUUCCCCUCCCUCCCUCUCACCAGGCUCCAGCUCCCUUCACCAGUGCAGGGAGAGUGCCAAGCUCAUUCUUGCCUCCAGGCCCUUGCACAUGCUAAGUCAUCUGCUCGGAAUUUCCUUCCCCUUCACCUCACCACCCCUACUCAUCCUUCAGGUCUGAGCUCAAAUGUCACUGAGAGAUGUCUUCCCUGACAUCCCUUCACCUUCAUCCACAGUUCAACUUACACUCACAUGUACUUAUCAUUCAUUAUUAUUUGGAAUUGCUUAUUUGCUUUUGUGAUGGUUUAAGGCAGGCAUCCCCACUGGAACUCCAGGAGGGCAGGGCAGAUUCUGUCUUGGUCAGCACUGUAUCUGUAGCACUUAGUACAAGGUUUACAUAGAGCAGAAAAAAAAUUAUUUUUGUGAAGAGAGGCACAAAUGCCAUGAGGCCUGAAAGAUCUCCCUUUUGGGCUCAUAUUUCUCCUGAAAUUGCCCUUUUUGCACGUCUUGUUUUGGAAUCCAAGUCUGCCCUGAGUUUAGUUCCUUGCUUGUGAAACGUGGCUCUGCAGUGUCAAUGAUCCAACUUGAAGCAGCUGCUGCCAAGCCCGUGCUCCUGGCCCUCAGGUCUUGGGUUCAGCAGGAACUGGCCACAUUCCAAAUACUGGGGUCUGCAGCUCUGGGCGCUUGUGCACAGCAUAUUGCAAGUGCUGAGAAACUAACCACCCACCAGAUCCUGGCCAGGGCAGAUGACAGUAACUCCAUCAUUUCCCUCAGGCAGGGGUAACAUUGAGGAGUGUAUUCCACACCACUGUCCACAGUGUUCUUGUGGGGUAAGCUCCUGUCACCCAUAACGGUGGCUGGUUUGACACGGCACUCUUUACUGGCUGACUUCUCUUCUUUGUCUUCUUCCGACUCCCCACCCCAAACAAACUACUUGACCUUGAAUCCUUAUCACGGAGUCUACUUGUGGAAGAAUGCAAACUAAGACAGGCACUGUUGCUGCAUCAUACUCUACUGUUCCAUUAUUAUGACUACACAAUAAACACACUGGCAACACGCUUCUGCACAUGUUUGCUCAUCAAAUCCUCCCAUGAACCCUAUGGAUUAAAUAUUCUUGUUUUGCGGAGAGGGAAAUAGGGAUACAUCAGAGAGGUAAAUCAAUUUGCCUAGUGCUGACCGGUGAAUCAGCUGGAGGCCUGGCCUGCUGCCCAGGGCACUUUCCUUUCCAACACCGGGACCCAUAAGGCUGUGCAUAUGUGGCACCAAGUGGAUAAGAGUGUGGAGACAGAGCUGGCGGGGAGGCCCAGGCUGUGAAGGGUGUCCUCAUGCCCUGAGAUAAUCUAUACACUUACAGAAGAGCAUUCGGAUGAUCAGUCAUGGACGGCCACACACAUGUCCCGGGAGACUCAUGCCUGCACACAAAUGCCAGUGUGUGCACACUUGGUCCCACAUGUGCAGAAACCUGUUAGUGGCAAUUUCAAUUUCCUAAUUAAAAACAAACAAGGUAGGCAUGUUCUAUCCAGUGUCCCACACUCGAGCUUAUGGAAUCCAAGGGCUUCCUCCGGUCAUCUGGCCCAGCCACCUGCAUCUGACCUGAACCAACAUGGAAUGAGGUCUUGUCAGCUAAGAAGCGGUGCUUAACCAGCCAUUGAGUGAGCUGUUAGGGACCCUGGAAUAAUUACAGCCUUCUCAAAUGAGAAGAUGAAGAGGGGUUUGUGUGUGUGUGUGUGUGUGUGUGUGUGUGUGUGUGUGUGUGUAUUUUUUGAUAGUUUGAGAUUUAAAAUUACAUAGUAGAACUAAUAGGCCCUUUCUGUCUCAUAAUUAUGUUUGUCAUGAUACAAACCCUUAAACGUUUGGCUGCUGGUCUUGGAUGAAACUCCCAGCCUCAGAUGGAAUUGUAAUGCCAUGAUGAGCCAUUAUGCUGUGGCCAAGGGUAGUCCCUCUGUGACACUUGCUGCCUGGCAGUGCUGUUGUUCUCAGCAUGUACAACAAGGGCUCAUAUCAGAAGGAGGUUAUAUUUUCCAUGGAGCUGUCACAGGGGCCCAAGGACUAGGAGGCAGGAGCUACUGGCUCAGGAAUCCUUGGGAGUUAGAUGGGACCUGGGACUCUGUCAUUUCCCCCUUUGCUGGAAACACAGAGGUUUGAGAAUGCUACAGUCCAAGCAAGAGUGGUACUGGGCUGCCUUCAUCUAUAUGGAGAUUAUUCCUUCAACAGAGCAAUUGCAGAUAAUUGAACUUUAAAUUGUUCUAUCCCUAAGAAUAAUGAACGUUGAGACCGUUCCACCAGGAUGAUGAGUUUAGUCCUGGAAUAGAUGUCGUACCAGUCGGGUGGUGAACUGCACUGAACAUGCCUGGGGUGAUGUUAGGAAGACAGCAAGCUGAAAAUUAGCAUUCCAGAAGGGAUAAAGCCAUCUGCAUACAAUAUUAGAAGAUUUUAUGACAUUAUGUUUCUAGGUAGUUUGGACUCCCUGAGUUAGUUAAGAAACUUAAUUUUCUUUCCAUCACAAAUACCUUAGGGAUCUUUUGGUUGCAAGUAAGAGAAAUCAAUGUGCUUAUUAAAGUAAAGGGAGAUGCUUUAUGAGUGAGGCAGGAUAACCUGGUAGAGAAAUUAGGUGUUUUCUCCUUCCUUCUCUCAAAAGGCUGGCAAAAGACUAGCUCCUUAUUUGGGAGGACUGAUGUAGUCUUCGCUUUGAGGGAGAAGAGAAUUUUUAAAAGUCAACUUUAAAUAUCAGUUUCAUACUCUAAAAUGUAUCAGUUCAAAAACUGUAAUUUGAUGUGCUUUGACAAAGGUGUAACCGCCACCACAAUCCUGAAAGAGAACAUUUCAUCACCCCCAUGAGCCCCUUUGAGCCAGUCCCCUCCCAACACCUGGGCCGCUGGUAUCACUGAUCUGCUUUCUGUCACUGUUUUGCUUUGUGAAGAUUUCAUAGAAAUGGACUCUACAGUGUCUGUUGGUGUCUGACUUCUUUCACUUUGCAUAAUACUUUUGAGAGCUGUUCAUGCUCUCACAUGUAUCAGUAGUUCUUCCUUUUUAUUGCUGAGUAGUAUUCUGUUGUAUAAGUACACCACAAUUUAUCUGUUCAGCAAUUGAUACAUAUUUGAGUUUCAUUUCUGAAUAAAGUACGUGCCUUUGUGUGAACUUAGGUUUCCUUAUCUCAUGGGUAAAUACCUAAAAGUAGAAUUUCUAGGCUGUAGGGUAAGUGCAUGUCCCAUUUUAUAAGAAACUAUAAAACUUUUACAAAGUGGCUGUACCAUUUUGCAUUGCCGCCAUCAUGUAUGACAGUUUCAGUUGUCCCACAUCCUUGACAACUCUUGGUAUUAAUCAGUCUUUAAUUUUGGCCAUUCUUGUGAGCAUGUAAGUGUAUCUCAAGGUGGUUUUAAUUUGCAUGUUUCUAAUGAAUAAAGAUAUUGAGCAUC